rnacentral:rRNA from 1 species
GGGGAUAACAGGCUGAUACCGCCCAAGAGUUCAUAUCGACGGCGGUGUUUGGCACCUCGAUGUCGGCUCAUCACAUCCUGGGGCUGAAGUAGGUCCCAAGGGUAUGGCUGUUCGCCAUUUAAAGUGGUACGCGAGCUGGGUUUAGAACGUCGUGAGACAGUUCGGUCCCUAUCUGCCGUGGGCGCUGGAGAACUGAGGGGGGCUGCUCCUAGUACGAGAGGACCGGAGUGGACGCAUCACUGGUGUUCGGGUUGUCAUGCCAAUGGCACUGCCCGGUAGCUAAAUGCGGAAGAGAUAAGUGCUGAAAGCAUCUAAGCACGAAACUUGCCCCGAGAUGAGUUCUCCCUGAGACUUUAAGUCUCCUGAAGGAACGUUGAAGACGACGACGUUGAUAGGCCGGGUGUGUAAGCGCAGCGAUGCGUUGAGCUAACCGGUACUAAUGAACCGUGAGGCUUAACCUUACAACGCCGAAGAUGUUUUG